AAAUAGCCCCGAUAGAAGUGAAAAUCCUUGUGGCCCGGUGUUCGGGCCACAAGAUUGAAACGAAUAGCGGGAGGAAUG
rnacentral:sRNA from 1 species